rnacentral:rRNA from 1 species
UGGGGAAUAUUGGGCAAUGGGCGAAAGCCUUACCCAGCAACGCCGCGUGAGGGAAGAAGGUUUUCGGAUUGUAAACCUCUGUCCUGGGGGACGAAGGAAGUGACGGUACCCCGGGAGGAAGCCCCGGCUAACUACGUGCCAGCAGCCGCGGUAAUACGUAGGGGGCGAGCGUUGUCCGGAAUUAUUGGGCGUAAAGGGCGCGUAGACGGCCGAGUAAGUUAUAGGUGAAAGCCCAUCUUUCAAGGAUGGAAUUGCCUGUAAUACUGCCUGGCUUGAGUGCAGGAGAGGGAAGCGGAAUUCCUAGUGUAGCAGUGAAAUGCGUAGAUAUUAGGAGGAACACCAGUGGCGAAGGCGGCUUUCUGGACUGUAACUGACGUUGAGGCGCGAAAGCGUGGGGAGCAAACAGGAUUAGAUACCC